GAAUUUUGGACAAUGGGCGCAAGCCUGAUCCAGCCAUUCCGCGUGCAGGAUGAAGGCCCUCGGGUUGUAAACUGCUUUUGUACGGAACGAAAAGCGCUGAGUUAAUACCUCGGCGUCAUGACGGUACCGUAAGAAUAAGCACCGGCCAACUACGUUCCAGCAGCCGCGGUAAUACGUAGGGUGCAAGCGUUAAUCGGAAUUCCUGGGCGUAAAGCGUGCGCAGGCGGUGAUGUAAGACAGGUGUGAAAUCCCCGGGCUUAACCUGGGAACUGCAUUUGUGACUGCAUCGCUGGAGUGCGGCAGAGGGGGAUGGAACUCCGCGUGUAGCAGUGAAAUGCGUAGAUAUGCGGAGGAACACCGAUGGCGAAGGCAAUCCCCUGGGCCUGCACUGACGCUCAUGCACGAAAGCGUGGGGAGCAAACAGG
rnacentral:rRNA from 1 species